UCACAGAAAAACACACAAACUCAUAGUAAAGUCUAGAAAUAUGAUUUUUAUUUAACAGAGCCAAUACUUUCAACCAAGGUUACGCAAAUAACAGAGUCAUAAUUGUUUCCAAUUCAACAAAUACAAAACCAAAGGUGUGAAAAAAAGUGGACAUUAAAUUCUAAAUUGUCUAUGAUUAUAGUCGUAAUUGUUUCCCAAAAUGAAAACAACUCUAUUUUGACAAAUAACCACCUAAACCUAUUGAUACUAAGCAACAAAAACACUUCUUUCUUGAUGGCUUGAGUCCUGGAGUUGGAACAAUCGGAGGGGGCAUGUUGAAGUAAGAUUAGCAGAAGGGUUUGUUAUAACAAAGUACUACACUUAGCAUUGUAACUACUCGUGCUAAGAAACUACAAUAAUUGCCUACUAAACACACACAAGAAGAAGGAGACGAAGUGUUGAGUUUUAGAGAAAAGAAGAACAAGAAGUGUCAUUGAUCAAAUAACACAUAAUCUCAAUAUUUUCAUUACCUGUUGCACAUGAAACGAUGACUUUUUUGUUUUACUGGGUGCCAAACACCAAAACGAUGUCGUUCCUUUGAUCCAACGUGGCAGUGGUUAUGCCAUAUUAAUAGUCCCAUUAUUGACUCGUUGUUGGAAAGGGGCUCAAAGACUGCAUGUCCAGAGCUCAAUCUAGAGGGGAUUUAAAAUAGUGUAAUUUGAACCUCAGGGGUCAAAAUGGUGCAGGGAACCAAUCUAGGAACUACUUUGGGGAUAUAUUCCUUUAGAAGGUUUGAAGUUCAAAGUUGAUGAUCAAAUGAAUAGAAUCUUCACAAGAACAAUCACUGAAGAAGAAGUUAAGAGAGUUGUUUUCUCUGUUUACUCCUUGUCAACCCUAGGUGAGGAUGGCUUCAUAGCAAAGUUUUUCUACUUUUAUUGAAAGAUUAUCAAGCAAGAUGUCAUUCAAGCUGCUAUAAGUUUAAUCUUUAAAGGAUCAACGAGAUAACGAAAGGAAGCUUCAGCGAAUAAAGUGGGACAUGACUGAUUCAUUGAUUACAAAGUCUUCAAAUAUAAGUACUUUCUCUUUUUUUCCUUUAUGAAUGGUCAAACUGGCUAUAAUCCUUCUUGGUCUUGGAGAAGCAUGCUUGAAGGCAGAAAUAUGAUUAAGAAAGGUGUUAAAUGAAAAAUUAAUAGUGAUUCUCAGGUUUGUAUCUACAAAAAUGUUUGGAAUAACAACAAGGUGAAGAUUCAGAGAGAUUCAUUUAACAGCUCAAACUAGAGUUUUAUUUGGAUCAAUUAAUUAAUGCUACUUGAUAGUAAUUGAAAUGAAUGUCUAAUUCAUAACACCUCAGCUAUGGUGGCUCAACUCAUAAUUUUACAUACUCCCAGAAUUCAAGGACAUGAUAAACUUAUUUAGGGUAAGGAGAAAAGAUGUGCUUAUAAUGUCAAUUCUGGAUAGCAAAUCAGCUUUUAGUUCUUCCACCCACCUUAGGAGUACCUUCCAAAAAAUUCCACAAUAAAAAACUAGGGUGCUUAAUCUAGUAGCUGAAAUUUAGUUAUUCCUUCGAAAGGUAGUGCAUAAUGGUAUCCUUGCGAGAGAGAAUUUCCAAAUCAUAAUCCAAACAAU